ensembl:lncRNA
CCUCACAGUAUAUAUGCCACCUCAUUUCCUCAGUAAUACAUGCCUGUCAUAUGCAAUCGUGUGUACUAAACUUACAACGAUGUCUCACAAACUUAGCUUCAGCACCAGGAAGUACAACAUGAUUCUGUGCAGUUUGGGUGAAGGUUCCUCUGAUAGGGACAGCGAAGCACAGACCUCAGUGCACAGAGUGCAGCACAGUCCCACCACCAACACUGAGUGAUCUAGCCACUCAUGUUCUAGAGAGAACACCAGAACAGAAGAUCAGACAAGCAGCCCAAAGCCAGAGAAGAGCAAGGUUUGCCUUUUUUAGCCUCCCCAAACAAAGCAGGGUGGAUCACAUAUGUAAAUGCCUGUGGGGAGGGAGGAGUACAAGGAAUGAGGCUCUAGGGAGGGAAAAGAAUGAAUUAAUUGAAUCAGCAAGCAGAAAUGCCUGGAAAUUGGAAAUCAGAAAAAAAAUGAGAUACUGAAAGAGCUGCUCAUGAAGGCAGCUGGAGAAGCAGAGAAGAGGGCAGCUCAGCACGAUGGCUGCUGCCAGUCUGCAGGUCCUGACCUUCCUGAGAUACAGAUUUCAGUUGUGGCUCUGUCCCUGGCUCAGGGGAGUACCCAUCUCUUUUGUGUGGAAGCCUUUGCUUCCUUUCAAUGGAGUAUUCCACUUUUAUAGAUAAAGAUCUUGUGUAUCUAUUUUACUUCAGAAAUGGAUCUAAGAGUAUAGUUUUUCAAAACUAGCACAUUUUUCCUUUUUGCACUCUGGGUACAACAUAUCUAGGCAAGAGCUGCUUUUGGUCCUCCAGCCCCCUUCACCACAGAGAUCCUUCCACUGGGGUCCUGCAUGCAGGCUCACACACCCUGAGCUCUUCUCCCCGCUUUGCACCUGCUCUGCCAUUCUCCUCCCUCUGUCCUAGCACUGUUUGCUGAGGACAUACUGGGUAUUUCUACAUAUCCUUAUUUCCCUAGCCAGCGUCCCCCAUUCUCUGCUCAAUGUUUCCCUCUGGUCCAUUUCUGCCCCCACGCAAUGGGUUUCUC